AAAAGAAAAUGAUCUUUGUUUCCAAUGAAUAAUGUUUGGAAAUGACCAAAUAAAAUAAUGUUAAAAAAAUUCCAGACUCCCUCUUCUCCCCUAAGUUUCUGGUGCUUUCCAAGGUGCGUAGCCUCUUCCAGGUGAGACUCCAACAUGCUCCCACCUGUCUUCUCUGUUCCAGGCUAAAUAUCCUCAUUUCCUUCAAUCAGUCCUCAAGGCCCUUCCCUCUGGGUUUAAGCUCCCCAGUUUAUCAAUGUCUUGUCUAAAAUUUGGAGCCAAGAACUAAGCACAUACCCCAGAUGGGAUCUGAGCAAUCCCAUUCACAUUCACUUCCAGCCUGCUACAGCCUCCAAAUCUUUUUUUGAGACUAGCUCUUGCUUAGCCAUGCCUUCCCCAUCUUGUAGUUAUGAAGCUGAUUGAAGCCAAGUGUAAGGGGUGGGGGUAAUUAACUUUCCCCUGCUGAAUUUGAUGAGUUCCUCCAAUUAACCUGAUGAGACUAUAAAGCAUCUGGGGAGGGGAGAGAAAGAAUCCAAGAACUUCUCUUCAUAAAGUAUCGAGAGGUCCAGGGAACUUCCGUGCCUGGUUGACAGAUUCAAGAGAAUGGACUUAUUGUGGAACUUCCAUUUCUGUGAACCUUAAAGAGAGGCAGCUUUCUUUCUUUUUCUCAUUCUUUUCUGGACUCCUUCACCUUUACCUUUGUGCCUUCUGGUAUAGUGUGGAGAGCUAGAAGAUAAGAGUUCUCCUUCCCACUUACCCUGAAGUAGUUGAAGACUAUUUGCAGCGUAAAUGACAUUAUUUUGCCUGGUGGCUUGAGAGAGAAGUUAUGGGACUUCAAGUUCCUGGCUAUCUUCUGCCUUUCAUUUUUCUUUUAUGGGAAAAAUCAGAAAUGAAAAUUUGAGAAUGGACUUUCCCAUGUCAAGAAAUGAUAGCAGUUGAGACACAAGGAGUUUUCCUAGGGAACCACAUAACAAAAAUGAUGUGUGAUGACAUAUUUGAUCCACAUUCCAGGUUCGCAAGAGCAACAGAUGAAGAAAUUGACUUGCCUAGGAUACCAGGAUAACAGAAGAGGUAUGGAUCAGGACUCGGAAGUCUUUCAACCUUUAAGUCCCACUGUUUUCUCUCCUAUCUACUGA
rnacentral:lncRNA from 1 species